CAGCAGCCGCGGUAAUACAGAGGGUGCGAGCGUUAAUCGGAUUUACUGGGCGUAAAGCGUGCGUAGGCGGCUUCUUAAGUCGGAUGUGAAAUCCCUGAGCUUAACUUAGGAAUUGCAUUCGAUACUGGGAAGCUAGAGUAUGGGAGAGGAUGGUAGAAUUCCAGGUGUAGCGGUGAAAUGCGUAGAGAUCUGGAGGAAUACCGAUGGCGAAGGUAGCCAUCUGGCCUAAUACUGACGCUGAGGUACGAAAGCAUGGGGAGCAAACAGGAUUAGAUACCCGUGUAGUCCCUGUCUCUUAUAC
rnacentral:rRNA from 1 species